rnacentral:rRNA from 1 species
UACAGAGGUCUCAAGCGUUGUUCGGAUUCAUUGGGCGUAAAGGGUGCGUAGGCGGCGCGGUAAGUCGGGUGUGAAAUCUCGGAGCUUAACUCCGAAAUUGCAUUCGAUACUGCCGUGCUUGAGGACUGGAGAGGAGACUGGAAUUUACGGUGUAGCGGUGAAAUGCGUAGAUAUCGUAAGGAAGACCAGUGGCGAAGGCGGGUCUCUGGACAGUUCCUGACGCUGAGACACGAAGGCCAGGGGAGCAAACGGG